GACGAACGCUGGCGGCGUGCCUAAUACAUGCAAGUUGAGCGAUGAAGAUUGGUGCUUGCACCAAUUUGAAAAGCAGCGAACGGGUGGGUAACGCGUGGGGAAUCUGCCUUGGAGGGGGGGACAACAUUGGGAAACGAAUGCUAAAACCGCAUAACAACUUUAAACAUAAUUUUUAAGUUGGAAAGAUGCAAUUGCAUCACUAAAAGAUGAUCCCGCGUUGUAUUAGCUAGUUGGUGAGGUAAAGGCUCACCAAGGCGAUGACACAUAGCCGACCUGAGAGGGUGAUCGGCCACAUUGGGACUGAGACACGGCCCAAACUCCUACGGGAGGCAGCAGUAGGGAAUCUUCGGCAAUGGACGAAAGUCUGACCGAGCAACGCCGCGUGAGUGAAGAAGGUUUUCGGAUCGUAAAACUCUGUUGGUAGAGAAGAACGUUGGUGAGAGUGGAAAGCUCAUCAAGUGACGGUAACUACCCAGAAAGGGACGGCUAACUACGUG
rnacentral:rRNA from 1 species